GACGAACGCUGGCGGCGUGCUUAACACAUGCAAGUCGAACGGAAAGGCCUGCUUUCCCUUGUGGAUUGCGGGUACUCGAGUGGCGAACGGGUGAGUAACACGUGAGUGAUCUGCCCCCAACUUGGGUAUAAGCCUGGGAAACUGGGUCUAAUUCCCGAUAGGACUGCAGGGUGGUGCCUGUGGUGGAAAACGAUGUUCUAGUGGUUGGGGAUGAGCUCGCGGCCUAUCAGCUUGUUGGUGGGGUAAUGGCCUACCAAGGCGGCGACGGGUAGCCGGCCUGGGAGGGUGGACGGGCACAUUGGGACUGAGAUACGGCCCAGACUACUACGGGAGGCAGCAGUGGGGAAUAUUGCACAAUGGGCGGAAGCCUGAUGCAGCGACGCCGCGUGGGGGAUGACGGCCUUCGGGUUGUAAACUCCUUGCGACCGCGAGGAAGCCACCUGGUUGGAAGGGUGGUGACGGUAGUGGUAGAAGAAGCACCGGCUAACUACGUG
rnacentral:rRNA from 1 species